GGGGAAUAUUGCGCAAUGGGGGAAACCCUGACGCAGCGACGCCGCGUGAGCGAAGAAGGCCUUAGGGUUGUAAAGCUCUGUUUUAGGGGACGAAUGUUAUGGGGAGUAAUAUGCCCUGUAAAUGACGGUACCCUAAGAGGAAGCCCCGGCUAACUACGUGCCAGCAGCCGCGGUAAGACGUAGGGGGCGAGCGUUGUCCGGAAUUACUGGGCGUAAAGAGCACGUAGGCGGGAACUUAAGUCAGGUGUGAAAGACCGUGGCUCAACCACGGGGUGGCAUUUGAAACUGGGUUUCUUGAGGGCAGGAGAGGAAAGCAGAAUUCCUGGUGUAGCGGUGAAAUGCGUAGAAAUCAGGAGGAAUACCAGUGGCGAAGGCGGCUUUCUGGACUGACCCUGACGCUGAGGUGCGAAAGCGUGGGUAGCAAAC
rnacentral:rRNA from 1 species